rnacentral:rRNA from 1 species
UACAGAGGUCUCAAGCGUUGUUCGGAUUCACUGGGCGUAAAGGGUGCGUAGGUGGCCAGGUAAGUUCGGUGUGAAAGCUCGGAGCUUAACUCCGAAAUGGCAUUGAAUACUAUCUGGCUAGAGGGUCGGAGGGGAGACUGGAAUUCUCGGUGUAGCAGUGAAAUGCGUAGAUAUCGAGAGGAACACCAGUGGCGAAGGCGAGUCCCUGGACAACACCUGACACUGAGGCACGAAAGCUAGGGGAGCAAACAGG